rnacentral:rRNA from 1 species
GACGAACGCUGGCGGCGUGCUUAACACAUGCAAGUCGAACGGAAAGGCCCUGCUUUUGUGGGGUGCUCGAGUGGCGAACGGGUGAGUAACACGUGAGUAACCUGCCCUUGACUUUGGGAUAACUUCAGGAAACUGGGGCUAAUACCGGAUAGGAGCUCCUGCUGCAUGGUGGGGGUUGGAAAGUUUCGGCGGUUGGGGAUGGACUCGCGGCUUAUCAGCUUGUUGGUGGGGUAGUGGCUUACCAAGGCUUUGACGGGUAGCCGGCCUGAGAGGGUGACCGGCCACAUGGGGACUGAGAUACGGCCCAGACUCCUACGGGAGGCAGCAGUGGGGAAUAGUGCACAAUGGGCGGAAGCCUGAUGCAGCAACGCCGCGUGCGGGAUGACGGCCUUCGGGUUGUAAACCGCUUUCGCCUGUGACGAAGCGUGAGUGACGGUAAUGGGUAAAGAAGCACCGGCUAACUACG